rnacentral:rRNA from 1 species
AACGAACGCUGGCGGCAGGCUUAACACAUGCAAGUCGAACGGAUCCUUCGGGAUUAGUGGCAGACGGGUGAGUAACGCGUGGGAACGUACCCUUUGCUACGGAAUAACUCAGGGAAACUUGAGCUAAUACCGUAUGUGCCCUACGGGGGAAAGAUUUAUCGGCAAAGGAUCGGCCCGCGUUGGAUUAGCUAGUUGGUGGGGUAAUGGCCUACCAAGGCGACGAUCCAUAGCUGGUCUGAGAGGAUGAUCAGCCACACUGGGACUGAGACACGGCCCAGACUCCUACGGGAGGCAGCAGUGGGGAAUAUUGGACAAUGGGCGCAAGCCUGAUCCAGCCAUGCCGCGUGAGUGAUGAAGGUCUUAGGACUGUAAAGCUCUUUCACCGGUGAAGAUAAUGACGGUAGCCGGAGAAGAAGCCCCGGCUAACUUCGUG